rnacentral:lncRNA from 1 species
UAUAAUUUUACAACAUUUAUAUCAAUAGCAUAAACAUAAAUGUAACUGAAGGAAUAUCUAGUAUCACUUAUUUUACAAUGCUUCCCAUACAAUUUACCAAAUAAGCCUAAUUAUUUAAUAUAUCUAAAAGAUAAGAGACACAACUUUGAGGCUCUCCAGGGGCCCAGCUGGAAAAUCCCACUGUUAAUUUUAAGUAAAAAAUAUUUAGUUUCAGAUUUUGAUGAUGUGGGUGGGGGCAGGACCUGCCAAAGAUGUUAAAAAGUUCAAAACACCUGAUCAAAACAAAAUCACAGGUUACUGUAAAAUAAUAGCCAUUAAUUUAACCAGAGUGACAAAAGACUUCAAAAGCAAUACAGAAAGUUACAUGGAUGUAAAAACCUUAACCCUUUUAAAGCUCAGUUUUUCUAUGUAGUCCAAAACCUAAUAAAGACAAGAUAGGAAAUUAUCUUGAUAAAAUGUAAAAUCUUUGUUUUUUCAGGCCAGUUACCAAAACAUAAAGAAAAAUCUCUUGUAGUGUGAUUGCUUCUCCUUAUGGGAAGCCCAUUUAGAUAAUCUGGAAGUCAAUGCUGUUGAAAAGGGUACUUGAAUUUAAUCAGGCACAGGAAGAAUGUAUCUAGGGUUAAGAAUAUACAUUACAUUAUACAGGAAUGUAAACAAGAAAACUAAUACCUUGAGUGAGGGAGUACAUGGCUCUCACUAACAACAUAGGAAGUUUCCUGAUUACAUGGAACAAUUUAGGCACAUCAAUAAAAGCCAAGAGCACAGAAUUGGGUUAUACUGGAGGAACACACUGUGUUUCUAGGCCUUUAAGAUAAAUAUUUCAGUGCUUGCUUUGACAGCACAUAUACUAAAGUUGGAAUGAUACAGAGAAGAUUAGCAUGGCCAUAAGCUGCUAAAAAAUAAUAAUUUUUUUUAAAUUUCAGCAUCAGACUGUAACAGUAGAGUUGGAAGAAAAAAAAAGUUGCAGAAAUUGAUGAAUAGAUUGAAGGAGAAAGUUAUCACCUCAGCCAAGAAAAAAGAUACACCUCUUCAAAGGACGAAAGAACAAAGGGCAAGAUGUAUGACCUGCAAAUCACAUGUAGCAAGGUACAGCAAAAGUUGAACUUUUUCUUUUUUAAGUUAACAUUGAACUUCUAGGCUGGACAUGGUGGCUCAUACCUGUAAUCCUAGCACUUUGAGAGGCCAAGGCAGGUGGAUCACUGAGCCCAGGACUUCAAAACUAGCCUGGAUAAUAUAGGGAGACCCUGUCUUUACAAAAAAUGAAACAAAAAUUAGCUGGAUAUAGUGGCACACACCUGUAGUCCUAGCUACUCAGGAGGCUGAGAUGGAAGGAUUGCUUGAGCACACAAGGUUAAGGCUGCAGUGAGCUGUUACUCCAGCCUGGGUGACAGAGUGAGAACUUGUCUCAGAAAAAAAAAAAAAAAAAAAAAAGGCUGGGCGUGGUGGCUCACACCUGUAAUCCCAGCACUUUGGGAGGCCAAGGUGGGCUGAUCACUCAAGGCCAGGAAUUUGAGACCAGCCUGGCCAACAUGGCAAAACCCCGUCUCUACUAAAAAUACAAAAUUAGCUGCGCAUGGUGGCACUCACCUGUAGUCCCAGCUACUCAGGAGGCUGAGGGAGGAAAACCGCUUGAACCUGGGAGGCGGAGGUUGCAGUGAGCCAAGAUCCCGCCAUUGCACUCCAGCCUGGGUGACAGAGUGAGACUCCAUCUGAACAAAAAAAAAAAAAAAAAGUUGAGCUUCUGAAAUAUAAAUCUGAGAAGUUACAAAAAGAAAAAAUUUUACCUUGAGAAAUAAAAUUACUAGUCUCAAUGAAAAAGAUAGCAUCAGGCUGGGCACGGUGGCUCACGCCUGUAAUCCCAGCACUUUGGGA